GUGGAUGGUCUUGGAACUUAACUGGCCCGAGGGCUAAAGAGAUGGCAUGCUUAUUGACAUGAAAUUUUUGGGGUUCAUCGGAUGAACUCAUUUUCCAUUUUUCUUGAUGCAGUUACGAGUUAUUUACGGUGUCCUGCUGAUUCGAAAAAAAUGCCAUCAAAUUGGAAAAUUCCUUACAUUGAUUUGAAGAUUAUUUCUUCAGAAU
rnacentral:misc_RNA from 1 species